UGACAGGAUUCUCCUGACGGGCUGCUCAA
rnacentral:piRNA from 1 species